rnacentral:rRNA from 1 species
UACGUAGGUCCCGAGCGUUGUCCGGAUUUAUUGGGCGUAAAGCGAGCGCAGGUGGUUUAUUAAGUCUGGUGUAAAAGGCAGUGGCUCAACCAUUGUAUGCAUUGGAAACUGGUAGACUUGAGUGCAGGAGAGGAGAGUGGAAUUCCAUGUGUAGCGGUGAAAUGCGUAGAUAUCUGGAGGAACACCGGUGGCGAAGGCGGCAUCCUGGACCGGCAUUGACGCUGAGGCGCGAAAGCCAGGGGAGCAAACGGG